UGGGUCGGCAAGACGGUCGCGUCGGUCCGCGAGAGCGGACCGCCGAGGAACGUCCGGGCUCCACAGAGCAGGGUGGUGGGUAACACCCACCCGGGGUAACCCGCGAGACAGUGCAACAGAAAGCAGACCGCCACCGGCUUCGGCCGGUGGUCAGGGUGAAACGGUGGUGUAAGAGACCACCAGCGGCCGGGGUGACCCGGUCGGCUCGGUAAACCUCGCCCGGAGCAAGGUCAGACAGGGGACGAUGAGGCUGCUCGCCGAGUCCCCGGGUAGACCGCUGGAGGGCGGCGGCAACGUCGCCCCGAGAGAGAUGGCCGUCCGCGACACUCCGGUGUCGUGACAGAACCCGGCGUACUAGCCGGCCCAUUCC
rfam:Leifsonia aquatica ATCC 14665 genomic scaffold Scaffold714, whole genome shotgun sequence.